rnacentral:rRNA from 1 species
GAUGAACGCUAGCGACAGGCCUAACACAUGCAAGUCGAGGGGCAGCACAAGGAGCAAUCUGAGGUGGCGACCGGCGCACGGGUGAGUAACACGUAUGCAACCUGCCUGUAAGAGGGGGAUAACCCGUUGAAAGACGGACUAAUACCGCAUAGUACUGAAUAACCGCAUGGUUAAUCAGUUAAACAUUUAUGGCUUACAGAUGGGCAUGCGCAUGAUUAGCUAGUUGGUGAGGUAACGGCUCACCAAGGCAACGAUCAUUAGGGGUUCUGAGAGGAAGGUCCCCCACACUGGUACUGAGACACGGACCAGACUCCUACGGGAGGCAGCAGUGAGGAAUAUUGGUCAAUGGGCGAGAGCCUGAACCAGCCAAGUCGCGUGAAGGAUGAAGGUUUUAUGAAUUGUAAACUUCUUUUGCAGGGGAAUAAAGGUACGGUACGUGUACCGUUUUGUAUGUACUCUGCGAAUAAGGAUCGGCUAACUCCGUGCCAGCA